rnacentral:tRNA from 1 species
UGUUCUGUAGCUUAGUUGGUUAAAGCGCCGGACUAGCGAUAACGGAGUCGUGGGUUCGAAUCACACCAAAACAA